rnacentral:tRNA from 1 species
GGAAGUGUGGCCGAGUGGUUGAAGGCACUAGUCUUGAAAACUAGCGAGGAUGAGAGUCCUUCGUGAGUUCGAAUCUCACCGCUUCCG